UCAAAUACCUUGUAUAUAAAAAUUUCUGUCACUUUUUUCCUUGAUCACCUUCCAAGAUACUCCUCUUGAUCAACAUUUUCUCCUCAAGCUUUUCACGUAAUUUAGAUUUUAUAACUGUAUGUUUAGCCAAAUCCUCGUACCCGUAUGGAUCCAUAUCCCCGAAUCUUAAAAUUUAGAUCAUGAAGAAUCCGGCCUCUAUAUCCGCACCCGUAUUGGGCACCCGCACCCGGGUCCUAGUAACUUAAGUUUGAUCUAAAUAUAGAAUACAACGAGUAAGAAAUAAGGAUAAGUCCCCAGAAAAAAACUACAUCGACUAUGAUAAAGUAUCUGUUCGUAGUGGUAUCAUAGCAUUUGUAAGAUUUUGAAGACGAGAAUGCCUAAAGAAACAUAGCCUUGCCUUGGAGUUUGCCAUGUCCAAGGGUGAGAUUCUGCAAAGCUUGUAAAACAAAAUACAGAUUAAGAAAGUUGAAGUUGAGUUUGAUCUGGAUAUGGAAUCAAAUGAGUUCUUCUGCUGCAAGACAAAGGAAGUCUUCCAAUUUAUUAUGAAAUGUGAAGUGGGAAAUCAACCUAAAAAGAAGGGAACAUGAAUAUGAAUAAGAUGCAGGAUACCUAGAUGAUGUUAGCAAGAUGUAGCACUUGCCAUGAGGAAGCUAGCCAGAAAGCAGGUCAUGGAAAGACAUAAGAAGCUGCUACAUGCUGGAUACCUUGGAAAGAUAUCAAAGAUGAGAAGGAUGUGGAAAAGAUAUUUUACAAAGCACUACACUGAUUACAAAUGUUAGCACCAAAGGCUUGAAAGAUGGAAAAUAUUCUGAUCUGUUUCUACAACAGAUACCAGGUGCCACAGGAAUAGCUAUCAAAUAGAAUUAAUACAAUUUAGAGUAAUCAACUUCAAACGUAAGUUGGACUGCCUACACUUUACCCUCCCUAGACCCCACUUUGCGUGAAUACACUGGGUAUGUUAUAGUUGUAACUUCAAACUAAAGUGUUUCCCUAUUCUUGAUUCACUUUAGGAAAGACACCGUGUGUUUUGCAAACUAAGCUGACUCACACUCUAAAGAAGGCGUUUUAGAGAGAAUUGGGACUAUCUUUUGUAACUUGGAGAUAUAUGGGUGUUUCAGACGGUUAUAAAGUAGAUAUAAUGCCUCACCAAGAGUAAAAACUACGGGUUUUAUUGGACUGAAUAACUGAUACAAGUAUUGUGACGUAUGUCCUUUCCCAGUCAUUUGCACUGUAUUAAAGCCGUGCAGAAUAACAGAAUUAACUAGAUAUAUUAUCGAACAAUCGAGGCUUUUUCUUAGUUUAUUAACAGAUACUGUUUUCUUAUGGACAAUCAAGUUCAAAACCACUGAAUUUAAAGGAAAUGAAAGAAAAGGUGAGCUGUACCUGAUAAAUACAAUUUGCUCGUGCUAACGUUUUUUCUUCCUUAUGUCUAGUUUCAAGGCUCGCUCUUGGAAAAAAUUCUGAAGUUUCCACUCAUAAAUCUGCUAGAGGCUAUCCUGAGAACAGCUAUUGAAAUUGCAUUUCUCCUGCAACUAAAUACAAGAACUAUUUUCAUUUGUUAUGUCAUCAAAACAGAAAACUAUCUUCUUUCUUUAAUUUCUCUUCUUAAUUUGAGUACAGUUUCACCAACCUAUCUCAAGGAGACACUCUGUUCUGGAUGGCUUUCGAGUGCUUUGAUGAGAAACCGUGAUAAGUAUUUUCUGGCAUUUUAAAUGGGAUUGAUACUAAAAUGUGGAAUCCAGCAACGGAUGUUUAUUUGCCUGCUAAAUUUGAUGGAAUUUUUGUUCUCUGAUGAAAGAAAGAAUGUACAACUUGUGAGUUUGCACCCAAGGGUAUGACCUAGUGGUUCAAUGAAGUUGGGUUGAGCACCGUGAGGUUCAGGUUCUUCUCCCAACCGAGACAAACACUAGGUGAUUGCUUCCCAUCUAUUCUAGCCUUGGUGGACAGAGUUACCUGGUACCUUUUGCUGGUGAGAGGUGGUAGGUAUCCCGUGGAAUUAUUGAAGGUAUGGGCAAGCUGGCCCGGACAUCACAGUUAUAAAAAAAAACAUGUCACUUUUUUUCCAGAACUUUGCAUAUUAUUGGGUACUGUCGAAUAUAUUUAAUUAUAUCAUUAUCAACUUACAAAAGCAAAUGUAAUGAUUUCUCAAUUAUAUCUACCUAUUAACUGGGUGGGGGUGGUGUCAAAAUCUACUGAUAUUAU